rnacentral:rRNA from 1 species
AUUGAACGCUGGCGGCAGGCCUAACACAUGCAAGUCGAACGAGUGGCGGACGGGUGAGUAAUGUUUGGGAAACUGCCUGAUGGAGGGGGAUAACUACGGGAAACGGUAGCUAAUACCGCAUUCCACAGGAUGUGCCCAAGUGGGAUUAGGUAGUUGGUGGGGUAAAGGCUCACCAAGCCGACGAUCCCUAGCUGGUCUGAGAGGAUGACCAGCCACACUGGGACUGAGACACGGUCCAGACUCCGACGGGAGGCAGCAGUGGGGAAUAUUGCACAAUGGGCGCAAGCCGGAUGCAGCCAUGCCGCGUGUAUGAAGAAGGCCUUCGGGUUGUAAAGUACUUUCAGUCGGGAGGCGUUACCCACAGAAGAAGCACCGGCUAACUCCGUGCCAGCAGCCGCGGUAAUUC